UACGGAGGAUGCGAGCGUUAUCCGGAUUUAUUGGGUUUAAAGGGUGCGUAGGCGGUCCGUUAAGUCAGCGGUAAAAUUGCGGGGCUCAACCCCGUCGAGCCGUUGAAACUGGCAGACUUGAGUUGGCGAGAAGUACGCGGAAUGCGCGGUGUAGCGGUGAAAUGCAUAGAUAUCGCGCAGAACUCCGAUUGCGAAGGCAGAGUACCGGCGCCAGACUGACGCUGAGGCACGAAAGCGUGGGGAUCGAACAGG
rnacentral:rRNA from 1 species